rnacentral:tRNA from 1 species
GCAGUGGUAGUUCAGCGGUAGAAUUCUCACCUUCCAAGUGGGAAACAGGUUCAAUUACCAACCAGUGCA